UACGGAGGGUGCAAGCGUUAUCCGGAUUCACUGGGUUUAAAGGGUGCGUAGGAGGGCAGGUAAGUCAGUGGUGAAAUCUCCAAGCUUAACUUGGAACUGCCGUUGAUACUAUCUGUCUUGAAUAUUUGUGGAGGUGAGCGGAAUAUGUCAUGUAGCGGUGAAAUGACUUAGUAUAUGACAUAGAACACCAAAUUCGCGAA
rnacentral:rRNA from 1 species